UGUUUCUUCUUCACUUAUUUGAGCUUUUCUCUUCCUUCAGGAGUCAGCUGUCAAAAACUGACUGCAGUGAAGGAUGAAGAGUCCAGUUUAGAAGGCAGAUCUGUCACUCUGUCCUGUAAUUAUUCACAAAAAGCAGCUGGUAAUGAUUAUUUCUACUGGUAUCGACAACAUCCAGGAAAACCUCCAGAGUUCCUGUUGUCUCAUACAGGAACAGGACGAAAACUACAGACUCCUGUUCCUGGACUGCAGUUUAAAGUGAGUGAUGAUAAAAGACAAGUGGAUCUGCAGAUCUCCUCUGCUGCAGAGACAGACUCUGCU